GACGAACGCUGGCGGCGUGCCUAAUACAUGCAAGUAGAACGCUGAAGAGAGGAGCUUGCUCUUCUUGGUUGAGUUUCGCACGGGUGAGUAACGCGUAGGUAACCUUCCUUGUAGCGGGGGAUAACUAUUGGAAACGAUAGCUAAUACCGCAUAACAAUGGAUGACCCAUGUCAUUUAUUUUAAAGGGGCAAAUGCUCCACUACAAGAUGGACCUGCGUUGUAUUAGCUAGUAGGUGCGGUAACGGCUCACCUCGGCGACGAUACAUAGCCGACCCGAGAGGGUGAACGGCCACACUGGGAAUGAGACACGGGCCAGACUCCUACGGGAGGGAGCAGUAGGGAAACUUCGGCAAUGGGGGGAAACCUGACCGAGCAAAGCCGCGGGAGUGAAGGAGGUUUUCGGAUCGUAAAGCUCUGUUGUGAGUCAAGAACGAGUGUGAGGGUGGAAAGUUCACACAGUGACGGUAGCUUACGAGAAAGGGACGGCUAACUACGUG
rnacentral:rRNA from 1 species